rnacentral:tRNA from 1 species
GGGCGAUUAACUCAGUGGCUAGAGUGCUACCUUCACACGGUAGAAGUCAGAGGUUCAAGUCCUCUAUCGCCCA